rnacentral:rRNA from 1 species
AUGCAGAUGCAGCCACACCAUUGCCCAAACAGCAGGGCCUUCGUCGGCUUGGCGCUCUUGCUGCUGCUCGUCUCCUUGGCCUCUCCGUCCAGCUCCUGCACGGCGCAGGAGAGGAGCUCCCUCCUCCGGCUCCUCGCUGGGCUCUCGCGGGACGGGGGCCUCGCGGCGACAUGGCGGAGGGAUAGGGACUGCUGCUCGUGGGAAGGGAUCACCUGCGGCGGCCCCAAUGGGGCGGUCACCGAUGUUUCGCUGGCUUCUCGAGGCCUCGAGGGGUCCAUCUCGCCGUCCCUGGGCAACCUCACCAGCCUCCUCCACCUCAACCUGUCGCGCAACUCGCUGUCCGGUGGCUUGCCGCUGGAGUUGGUGUCGUCAAGCAGCAUCGUUGUCCUUGACGUCAGCUUCAACCACCUGACUGGAGACCUGAGCGAGCUGCCACCUUCAACACCUGCGCUGCCUCUGCAGGUACUGAACAUCUCGAGCAACCUGUUUACAGGAAGGUUUCCAUCUGCUAUAUGGGAGGUGAUGAAGAGCCUGAUCGCGCUCAAUGCCAGCACCAACAGCUUUACUGGGCAGAUACCAAUUACCCCCUGUGUGAGCGCGCCAUCUUUGGCCGUGCUCGAACUCAGUUUUAACGAAUUCAGUGGAAAUAUCCCUCCAGGGCUCAGUAAUUGCUCUGUGCUGAACCUGCUCGGCGCUGGCUACAACAACCUCGUUGGGGCUCUUCCGGACGAGCUCUUCAAAGUUACCUCGUUAGAGCACCUCUCUUUGCCUAGCAAUGGUUUAGAAGGAGCUGUCAAUGGCAUCAGCAAGCUAACAAAUCUGGUCACCCUUGAUCUUGGGGGGAAUGAGUUCAACGGCAGUAUUCCAGAGUCUAUAGGUGACCUGAAGAGAUUGGAGGAGCUGCAUUUGGAACACAAUAACAUGUCAGGGGAGCUGCCAUCAGCUCUGAGCAACUGCACAAAUCUCGUAACAAUUGACCUCAAGAGCAACCAGUUCAUUGGAGAACUUACCAAGGUCAACUUCACAAGCCUGCCCAAUCUGAAAGUUUUGGAUCUUCUGUACAACAACUUCACCGGCACAGUUCCAGAAAGCAUAUACUCCUGCAGCAGGCUGACUGCAAUACGGCUAUCUAGUAACAAUUUCCAUGGCCAGUUGUCAGAAAGAAUAGGCAAUCUGAAGUCCCUCGCAUUCCUAUCACUUGUUAACAACUCCCUUACAAAUAUCACAAGCACACUUCAGAUCCUUCGGAGUUCCAGGAGCCUCACCACCCUUCUUCUUGGGUUCAACUUCAUGCAUGAGACCAUGCCAGAGGAUAUCAACAUUGAUGGUUUUGAGAGUCUUCAGGUUUUUUCGAUGAAUGAUUGUUCAUUGUCUGGAACAAUUCCCCAUUGGUUAUCAAAGCUACCGAAUUUGGAGAUGUUAUUUUUACACAACAAUCACCUCACUGGGUCAAUACCUGACUGGAUCAGCAGCCUAAACUUGCUCUUCUAUCUAGACAUAACAAACAACAGCCUUACAGGGGAAAUUCCAAGUGCCUUAAUGGAGAUGCCAAUGCUGAAGUCAGACAAAACUGCACCAAAGGUCUUUGAGCUGCCUGUUUAUAAUAAGAGCCCAUUUAUGCAAUAUCGCAUGCCCAGUGCUUUUCCUAAAGUACUGAAUCUAGGGAUGAAUAACUUCACUGGUGUGAUACCUGAGAAGAUUGGCCAGUUGAAAGGACUCGUUUCCCUCAACCUGAGCUCCAACCAACUAUCUGGAAAGAUCCCAGAAGCCAUCUGCAACCUCACGAACCUGCAGGCGCUCGACUUGUCUGGUAAUCAUCUCAUUGGUACAAUUCCAGCUGCACUAAACAAUCUGCACUUCCUUUCGAAAUUCAACAUUUCCAAUAAUGACCUAGAAGGGUCUAUUCCAGCUGUGGGCCAGCUUAGCACGUUUCCAAAUUCUAGCUUUGAUGGCAACCCAAAAUUGUGCGGUCAUAUGCUUGUGAACCAUUGCGGCUCAGCUGAAACACCUCUGAUCACCCAGAGAAGAAAGAAAAAGAAGGGUGUCUUUGCACUUGCAUUUGGUGUGUUUUUUGGAGGGGUGGCCGUUCUUUUCUUGCUGGCUCGUCUCCUUGUCUUGCUCAGGGGUACAAAUUUCAUGAGCAAAAGGCAGAGCAACAACAAUAAUGACAUAGAGGCAACAUCUUCAAAUCUCAAUUCAGAAUACUCCUUGGUGAUAGUUCCACGAGGCAAGGGAGAACAAAACAAACUCACACUGACGGAUCUCCUGAAGGCUACAAAGAACUUUGACAAGGAUCAUAUCAUUGGCUGUGGAGGUUAUGGGCUAGUCUACAAGGCUGAGCUACCUGAUGGCUCAAAGGUCGCCAUAAAAAAGCUCAAUAGUGAAAUGUGUCUGAUGGAAAGGGAAUUCAGUGCAGAGGUUGAUGCACUCUCCACGGCAGAGCAUGACAAUCUUGUACCAUUCUGGGGUUACUGCAUACAGGGAGAUUCAAGACUACUGAUAUACUCCUACAUGGAGAACGGCAGCCUGGAUGAUUGGCUUCACAACAGGGACACUGAUGACAACUCAUUUCUUGACUGGCCGAUACGGCUGAAGAUUGCACAAGGAGCAAGCCAGGGUCUAUCUUACAUCCACGAUGUAUGCAAGCCUCACAUUGUUCACCGUGACAUCAAGUCGAGCAACAUCCUACUAGACAAAGACUUCAAAGCUUAUGUUGCAGACUUUGGGUUAUCCAGAUUGAUCUUCCCCAACAGAACUCAUGUGACCACUGAGUUGGUCGGUACUCUCGGGUACAUCCCCCCAGAGUACGGGCAAGGAUGGGUAGCUACACUGAGAGGUGAUAUGUACAGUUUUGGUGUGGUCCUGCUUGAACUGGUAACGGGGAGGCGGCCUGUUCAAAUCUGUCCCAGGUCAAAAGAGCUUGUCAAGUGGGUACAGGAGAUGAGAUCCAAAGGGAAGCAGAUUGAAGUCCUGGAUCCAACACUUCGAGGCACAGGAUAUGAAGAGCAGAUGCUGAAGGUGCUUGAAGUUGCUUGCCAAUGUGUCAACCACAAUCCUGGCAUGAGGCCAGCCAUACAGGAGGUAGUAUCUUUCCUGAACAGCAUAGAUGCUAACCUUCAGAAACAAAAUUGA